UACCUCUUUGAUCGGAAGGGGUUCCUUCCGAUUGACGAGGUACAUCCUCGUUGACCGGAAGGAAACCCUUCCGGUCAAAGAGGUC
rnacentral:miRNA from 1 species